rnacentral:tRNA from 1 species
AAGGGAGACCUAAUUCAGGUAGGAGACGAAAAAAAAGUAGUCCCUACCAAGAAUCAAUCCCAAAAGGUCGGAGCGAGGCAAAAUUGGCUUUCAAACUAGGUUCUGGGUUCACACAAGACCUGAAUCAGGAACAAGGGCUAUUAGCUCAGGUGGUUAGAGCGCACCCCUGAUAAGGGUGAGGUCCCUGGUUCGAGUCCAGGAUGGCCCACCUGUACAGGUGGCAAAAACAAAGAAAAGAAGCGAGGAAUCAGCACCUUAUCUUACUUAUAUAGUAAGAGGGAAUGCUGGCUCUGAGUUCAGAGUCCAGAGGAACCUUGAAAACUGCAUAGAGCUAGGUGAAAAAGCCAAAAAAGAAGACCACAA